rnacentral:rRNA from 1 species
ACGGGUGCGGAACACGUACGCAACCUUCCUUCAGGCGGGGGAUAGCCCAUAGAAAUGUGGAUUAAUACCCCAUAAGAUAUUUGGAUGGCAUCAUUUGAAUAUUAAAGCCCCGGCACCUGGAGAUGGGCGUGCGGCUGAUUAGGUAGUUGGCGGAGUAACAGCCCACCAAGCCAGCGAUCAGUAACUGGUGUGAGAGCAUGACCAGUCACACGGGCACUGAGACACGGGCCCGACUCCUACGGGAGGCAGCAGUAAGGAAUAUUGGUCAAUGGACGCAAGUCUGAACCAGCCAUGCCGCGUGGAGGAUGAAGGUCCUCUGGAUUGUAAACUUCUUUUAUAUGGGACGAAAAAGGGAAAUUCUUUUCCACCUGACGGUACCAUAUGAAUAAGCACCGGCUAACUCCGUGCCAGCAGCCGCGGUAAUACGGAGGGUGCAAGCGUUAUCCGGAUUCACUGGGUUUAAAGGGUGCGUAGGUGGGCAGGUAAGUCAGUGGUGAAAUCUCCGGGCUUAACCCGGAAACUGCCAUUGAUACUAUUUGUCUUGAAUACCGUGGAGGUUAGCGGAAUAUGUCAUGUAGC